rnacentral:sRNA from 1 species
GAGGCAGAAUUAUGCAUUUACCUAUAACUUCAUUUUGAUUUUCAUUGUCAAUGUCAUGUUUUGUCGCUGUCAAAUGUUACAUGCUCUGGAAAAAAAAUAGUGGCCAAAUCCUUGAUAAAUCGGAUUUAAUACGUCAAUUUAAGUAAAAUGUUUGUGCAAUGCUCAACAUGUGAUAUUACUAUAAAAUCAUCCUGUUAGAAUAGGGACUAAUGAUACAAUGUAAUAAAUAUAAUAAUAUCCAGUGG